GCUUCCGUAGCUCAGUCGGUAGAGUACGCCCUUGGUAAGGGCGAGGUCACCGGUUCAAUCCCGGUCGGAAGCUCCA
rnacentral:tRNA from 1 species